CAGUCGCCACGGUAAUACGAGGGGGGCAAGCGUUGUUCGGAAUUAUUGGGCGUAAAGGGUGCGUAGGCGGUUUGACAAGUCUUGUGUGAAAUCUCUGGGCUCAACCCAGAGUCUGCACGGGAAACUGUCGGGCUAGAGGAUGGGAGAGGUGAGUGGAAUUUCCGGUGUAGCGGUGAAAUGCGUAGAUAUCGGAAGGAACACCUGUGGCGAAAGCGGCUCACUGGACCAUUUCUGACGCUGAUGCACGAAAGCUAGGGGAGCAAACAGGAUUAGAUACCCGGGUAGUCCCUGUCUCUUAUAC
rnacentral:rRNA from 1 species